rnacentral:rRNA from 1 species
UGAGCAAUCUGCCCUUCUCAUCGGAAUAAGCGUUGGAAACGACGUCUAAUGCCGAAUACGACCUCCUUUCGCAUGAUCGGAGGUGGAAAGCUCCGGCGGAGAAGGAUGAGCUCGCGGCCUAUCAGCUAGUUGGUGUGGGUAAUGGCCCACCAAGGCGACGACGGGUAGCCGGCCUGAGAGGGUGACCGGCCACACUGGGACUGAGAUACGGCCCAGACCUCCUACGGGAGCAG